GGCCCUACGGGGGGCAGCAGUGAGGAAUAUUGGUAAAUGGGCGAGAGCCUGAACCAGCCAAGUCGCGUGAAGGAUGACGGCCCUAUGGGUUGUAAACUUCUUUUGUCAGGGAGCAAUUGGGUCCACGUGUGGGCUUAGCGAGAGUACCUGAAGAAAAAGCAUCGGCUAACUCCGAGCCAGCAGCCGCGGUAAUACGGAGGAUGCGAGCGUUAUCCGGAUUUAUUGGGUUUAAAGGGUGCGUAGGCGGAAUAUCAAGUCAGCGGUAAAAAUUCGGGGCUCAACGCGGUCGUGCCGUUGAAACUGAG
rnacentral:rRNA from 1 species